GAUGAACGCUGGCGGCGUGCCCUCAAAGGGAAGGUCGAACGAGGAUUUAACGGAAUGCGAUUCGUCAAAUGAAAUUAAAUCCAAGGGGCGGACGGGUGCCCAACGGGGGGAUAACCUGCCUCACACAGGGGGACAACAGCCGGAAACGGUUGCUAAUACCGCAUAACAUGAGCAGUUCGCAGGGGCAGCUCACCAAAAAUUUUAUCGGUGUGAGAUGGAUCCGCGUCUGAUUAGCCAGUUGGCGGGGUAACGGCCCACCAAAGCGACAAUCAGUAGCCAACCUGAGAGGGUGACCGGCCACUUUGGGACUGAAACACGGCCCAAACUCCUACGGGAGGCAGCAGUGGGGAAUAUUGCACAAUGGGCGAAAGCCUGAUGCACCGACCCCGCGUGUGUGAAAAAGGCCUUCGGGUUGUAAAGCAUUUUCAGCGGGGAGGAAGGCGAUAAGGUUAAUAACCUUGUCAAUUGACGUUACCCGCAAAAAAAGCACCGGCUAACUCCGUG
rnacentral:rRNA from 1 species